rnacentral:misc_RNA from 1 species
GAUGAAGAACGCAGUGAAAUGCGAUAAGUAAUGUGAAUUGCAGAAUUCAGUGAAUCAUCGAAUCUUUGAACGCACAUUGCGCCCUCUGGUAUUCCGGGGGGCAUGCCUGUUCGAGCGUCAUUAUAACCACUCAAGCUCUCGCUUGGUAUUGGGGUUCGCGGUUUCGCGGCCCCUAAAAUCAGUGGCGGUGCCUGUCGGCUCUACGCGUAGUAAUACUUCUCGCGAUUGAGUUCGAUAGGUCUACUUGCCAGUAACCCCCAAUUUUUACAGGUUGACCUCGGAUCAGGUAGGGAUACCCGCUGAACUUAAGCAUAUCAAUAACGGAGGA